rnacentral:rRNA from 1 species
GAUGAACGCUGGCGGCGUGCCUAACACAUGCAAGUCGAACGGAGUCCAGCCUUUAAGACCUUCGGGUCAAAGAGGGGAAGACUGAGUGGCGGACGGGUGAGUAACACGUGGGCAACCUGGCUCAUAGAGGGGGAUAACAGAGAGAAAUUUCUGCUAAUACCGCAUAAGCACACACUGCCGCAUGGCAGAGGGUGAAAAGAGAAUCGCUAUGAGAUGGACCCGCGUCUGAUUAGCCAGUUGGCAGGGUAAGAGCCUACCAAAGCGACGAUCAGUAGCCGAUCUGAGAGGAUGAACGGCCACAUUGGGACUGAGACACGGCCCAAACUCCUACGGGAAGCAGCAGUGGGGGAUAUUGCACAAUGGGGGGAACCCUGAUGCAGCGACGCCGCGUGAGUGAAGAAGUAUUUCGGUAUGUAAAGCCCUAUCAGCAGGGAAGAUAAUGACAGUACCUGAAUAAGAAGCCCCGGCUAACUACGUG